rnacentral:rRNA from 1 species
GACGAACGCUGGCGGCGUGCUUAACACAUGCAAGUCGAACGGAAAGGCCCUGCUUUUGUGGGGUUCUCGAGUGGCGAACGGGUGCGUAACACGUGAGUAACCUGCCCUUGACUUUGGGAUAACUUCAGGAAACUGGGGCUAAUACCGUAUAGGAGCUCCUGCUGCGUGGAGGGGGUUGGAAAGUUUCGGCGGUUGGGGAUGGACUCGCGGCUUAUCAGCUUGUUGGUGGGGUAGUGGCUUACCAAGGCUUUGACGGGUAGCCGGCCUGAGAGGGUGACCGGCCACAUUGGGACUGAGAGACGGCCCAGACUCCUACGGGAGGCAGCAGUGGGGAAUAUUGCACAAUGGGCGGAAGCCUGAUGCAGCAACGCCGCGUGCGGGAUGACGGCCUUCGGGUUGUAAACCGCUUUCGCCUGUGACGAAGCGUGAGUGACGGUAAUGGGUAAAGAAGCACCGGCUAACUACGUG